GUUGUUUUCCUUUGUUUUGUGGUUGUUUUGGUCGUUUUGUUUUCCUUUUCCUUCCUUCCUUCACAGAGGAGGGGAGCAGUUCUCGGAAGCACAAACCAGCCGCGAGCGCCGGUAGAGGCAGCGUUGGGGCUGAGACAGCUCUUCCAGGCACUGCCCCAUCCGCACACCGACCUUGGGGCUGACACGGGGCUCCGCUGGCUCAGCUCGCUCAGCUGCCCCGAUCAAUGUCACGGCUGUCAGAGGGCCGCGGUUACACUUUCCCCUGCUGACAGCUCAUACAGAGCUAUCUUUCUCCCUUCUCCACCCGGACCUGCUAUCAAACCCAAGAAAACUAGACAACCGAAAGAAAUAGCAGAGUCGUCUGCAUUGCUCGGGGCAGCUCCUGCACUGUCCUGCCCAGGAGCGUCGCAGAGGAGCAGUUCUGGGGCGCUGUUAUGCCCAUGAUGACACGGUGCUGACACGGUGCUGGUACAGCCUUUAGCACCCAGCUCUCCACCUGUCACACAACGAAUGGCUUUGAUGCACAGCUCCAACACGGGGAAAUGGCGCCGAGCCCCUCGGUGACGUGAUGGGGAGCAGGAGCAGAAAUCUUUCGUUGUGGGACUUCGGGAUGGCUGUGCCACACUUCCAGCCACAACCAAACCCUGCACAGCACUGCCACAGCCACGUAUGGGCACGGAGCCACGUGCAGAGCUGCAGGCAGCGAGUGUGCUCUGCGAUGGCCGGGCACAAACACACCGUGAGCCAAAGACCCACCAAAGUGCCCUCCCAGCAGAGCAGAAGCAAAAUCUCUCCCCACUCCCAUGGAACCAAGUAGGCUGGAGCUGGAUGUGCAGCAGAGUGCGCCCACUGAACGCUGAAGAAAAUCACACUGAUGAGAAAUGCUUAAAGUAAAGUUCCCAAACUGAACACCCAGGUGUCUGAAGUCCCACAGAUGGUCCCUGCAGGGUGGGCUCGGUGGUGCCAAGCUGGGCACCAAGCAGUGCCUGAUGUCCACGGUCCCAGGCAGCCUCCGUGGCCAUCACCAGACCAGGGCAUGGCCAGCAGCUAUGGGGAGCUUCACCUGCAGAAGGCAAUGGGAACUGGGGAUCCUAGGCACAGCACACACAGAAGGUGAAACUGAUUUACUACCUUGGGAUGGAAUAAUGUUUUUAGAAUAAAAUUAUGCUACAUGGA